rnacentral:rRNA from 1 species
CCUACGGGAGGCAGCAGUGGGGAAUAUUGGACAAUGGGCGCAAGCCUGAUCCAGCCAUGCCGCGUGAGUGAUGAAGGCCCUAGGGUUGUAAAGCUCUUUCAGCGGGGAAGAUAAUGACGGUAACCGGAGAAGAAGCCCCGGCUAACUUCGUGCCAGCAGCCGCGGUAAU